UUGGCUUCUAGGUAACCAGUAAGGUAUUGUAGAAGCUGCUUUGUUGCUGGCUUGGUAAAUCUAAGUAUUAGAAAUAACUACCAGUUUUGGGGAUCAUCUACCUCAUUCUUUGCAGUUUGCCCUAAUUGAGCAAUUUCAAAGUGGGACCCUGGUCACAGUAAUGCUUUAAAAAACAAGCUAACAGGUUUUUUUAAUAAGAUUGCUGUGUUAUGUUUUUUUUUAAACCAGCCACCCGUCAAAAGCUAUGCUUCUUGGGAUAAUAUGAUUGUUUCAGGAAAAUGUGUUCUAUGACAUAGCUAUAGACCAGCUCCUGAUUGGUCCAACCGAGGAGGCGUGGUUUGACCCCAGAAUUGCUGGCAUUUCCCGAGAGGCAGCCUCUGAUGAUUGGCUACAAGCGUUGUCUUGGUGUGAGAUCUAAGGUGCAAUUGCGCUGGGAAAUGUACCCGUUGGACAAUCAGAGGAGCUACCUCAUUCCUAUGGACCCCAAAGCAGAACUCAACAUAUAUAUUUUAUACUUGUACACUUUAUACAUUGUUUAAAGGAAAACACCUGUGUACUAACAGUAUGUUACAUGUUAACCUAAAACCAUGGGCGGAGACAUUAUGUAAUCUUUAGACUAUUGGCUACUGUGCUUAUCUUGUCUUGCUGCUAGACCUAUCCAGGGGCUCGGGACCUCCCACCCUGUCGCUUCC